rnacentral:tRNA from 1 species
GGCAGGUUGCCCGAGUGGCCAAAGGGAUCUGACUGUAAAUCAGACGGCUUCGCCUUCAGAGGUUCGAAUCCUCUACCUGCCA